AUUGAACGCUGGCGGCAUGCCUUACACAUGCAAGUCGAACGGUAACGGGCCUUCGGGUGCCGACGAGUGGCGAACGGGUGAGUAAUGUAUCGGAACGUACCUUUCAGUGGGGGAUAACGUAGCGAAAGUUACGCUAAUACCGCAUAUUCUGUGCGCAGGAAAGCAGGGGAUCGCAAGACCUUGCGCUGAUUGAGCGGCCGAUAUCAGAUUAGCUAGUUGGUGAGGUAAAGGCUCACCAAGGCGACGAUCUGUAGCGGGUCGGAGAGGAUGAUCCGCCACACUGGAACUGAGACACGGUCCAGACUCCUACGGGAGGCAGCAGUGGGGAAUUUUGGACAAUGGGGGCAACCCUGAUCCAGCCAUGCCGCGUGAGUGAAGAAGGCCUUCGGGUUGUAAAGCUCUUUCGGCCGGGGAGAAAUCGUAUCAGCUAAUACCUGGUGCGGAUGACGGUACCGGCAUAAGAAGCACCGGCUAACUACGUGCCAGCCGCCGCUGUAACAC
rnacentral:rRNA from 1 species